rnacentral:rRNA from 1 species
ACGGGAGGCAGCAGUGGGGAAUAUUGCACAAUGGGGGAAACCCUGAUGCAGCGACGCCGCGUGAGCGAUGAAGUAUUUCGGUAUGUAAAGCUCUAUCAGCAGGGAAGAAAAUGACGGUACCUGACUAAGAAGCCCCGGCUAACUACGUGCCAGCAGCCGCGGUAAUACGUAGGGGGCAAGCGUUAUCCGGAUUUACUGGGUGUAAAGGGAGCGUAGACGGCAUGGCAAGCCAGAUGUGAAAGCCCGGGGCUCAACCCCGGGACUGCAUUUGGAACUGUCAGGCUAGAGUGUCGGAGAGGAAAGCGGAAUUCCUAGUGUAGCGGUGAAAUGCGUAGAUAUUAGGAGGAACACCAGUGGCGAAGGCGGCUUUCUGGACGAUGACUGACGUUGAGGCUCGAAAGCGUGGGGAGCAAACAGGAUUAGAUACCCUGGUA